rnacentral:lncRNA from 9 species
UCAGGAAGCUAUAAAAUGUUAUUUGGAACUGCUCUAGGCACAAAGAAUCAUAUAUGUGUGUGUCAUUCUUCAAAGAGGUUUAUGUAAUGACAGUUUGAUUCUUCAGACCUGCUCAAGGAGUCAGAAAACCUGGGAACUUCAUUUCCUAGAAUCUCUACCAAGCAGGAGAGAAAACUCAAAUCAGAGGAAAGAAUUACUAUGCCCAGAGAGGACGCCUGACUUCCAAGAACUUCAAGGUUUCUCCCAGAAAGUACCCACAUCUUUGCUGCAAGCAACUUCAGUCCCUGGUGGCAGUGCCCAGAGAGCCCUGGCACUUCCUGAUUUCCACAUGCAACUUCCUGCUUCCCUAUCAUUCUCCCAGCCCUUCCAAUGACUUUAUAAGGACUCAUUUCUCUUAGAUAAUCAGAAGGACAUUUGCUUUCCUGACUGGCUUCUAAUUCAUAGAGCAAAAGAGAAUGAAACAAAAACUUGUAUUGGAGUGAGCAUACACAACUGAGUGGUCCAGAGAAUUUAAAAUCUUGCACUUGGCAGCCUGCCUGGACUUGCAGUGUCCCACAUCCCUGUUUGACACCAGAGGGCAGGAUAAAAUUAAAAUCUGCAUCUUCCACCUCAAAUUAUUUCUGAAGAUUUCUCCAAAUCAAUACACACUUAAAGAUAUUCAAGUCCAAGAAAACAAGACUAUGUAUUAGGAUAAUUGGAAACAACAACCACAAAGGACAAAAACCCUUUAAAAACCCAAAAAUUCUGAUGAGACUGACAAAAUAAAAAUAUGGAAGGCAAAAAUUAGAUUAGGAAUUGAAAAAUAGGACAUCUCUACACAUUCUGAAGCUAUAAAAUGAUAAUAGGAUGUUAUAAUCCACUUUAUUUCAAGAAGUUAGAAACAUUCGAUAAAAAGGACAAAUUCCUAGAGAAACACAACUCCCCAAAACUCACUAAAGAAGAGAUAUUCUAAAUAUAACCAAAAAUAUUAAUCAAAUGGAAUCAUUAAUGAAUCCCCCACACAUAUAUACAUGUGCUUGCAUGCACAUGUGCGCACACACACCCACCCACCCAUAACAACCAAAGGGCUCCAGGUUGAUUCAGCUGGGGUUUUUUUGAGGGGUGGUGGUGAGCAAAGCAUCUUUGAAG